rnacentral:ncRNA from 1 species
CUUGCAACGGCGAAUUGUAGUUUCGAGAAGCACUUUCUCGGCGGAUCCGAGGUCGUCCAAGUUGCUUGGAACAGCACGUCGUAGAGGGUGAAAACCCCGUCUGCGGCGACCUCGGCCGUUCACGAUGUGCUUUCGACGAGUCGGGUUGUUUGGGAAUGCAGCCCAAAAUGGGUGGUAAACUCCAUCUAAAGCUAAAUAUUGGCACGAGACCGAUAGCGAACAAGUACCGUGAGGGAAAGAUGAAAAGCACUUUGAAAAGAGAGUUAAAAAGUACGUGAAACCGUUAAAAGGGAAACGAAUGGGGUUAGCAAUGCGUCGUGCGAGAUUCAGCCGGUGGGUGGGCCAGGCGGGCGGUUGGCGGAUCUGAAUGGACCGCUGCCGUUCGGGUUGGUUUCCCGACCGUCGCACUUCUCGCAGGCGCGCGCCAACGUCGGUUAGGGCUGGGUCUCAAAGGCGGUGGAAAGGUAGGUUUGGACUCUCGGGCCCGAACUGUUACAGUCCUCCGUUUGUCAUGGCCCGGACCUGACCGAGGAGCUUGCGGUGCAUGCCGUUCGGCUAGGGUCCCGUCUUCCCGGUCGGUCGUCGAAUGCGGUGGACUGCGUGCAGUGCGCCGCGACUGCUGCCGGUCACGAGGGCGGUGAUUUCGUACUAUGCACCCACGACGUUGGUGUCAUAUGCCUCAUCCGACCCGUCUUG